UCCAGCUGGAUGUUGAAAGCAAGGCAAGACAUCACUUGCUAGUUUCCUGAAGGAGCCAAAUUCAGUGUCCAGGACGUGACAAACGUCUCUCAGAUCUCCUACCAUCAGCCAAAAAUGUGCUCACACCACUCAGCUAUCUGCAGUCAGACUCCACCGCACAGCUGACUUCGAAAAUCUAUCUGUCAGUCUUCAAAACAACUUUAUAAUCAUCUAGAAUCAAGCCUUGGUCACACUGCUUCGCUGAGGCACAGCCAGAUUUGCUGCAGAAACGUUAGCCUAGAGCUGAGGUUGUAGCUCGUUGAGACAGUGCCUGUUCAGCACGCGUGAGGCCGCGGGUACGAUCUUCCGAACCAGAAAAAGAUACGAGAAGGAAAGCUGGGUGGAGGUAAAUAUAUCCUGGAAAGCUGGGUUGAGGUAAACAUAGCCUGUUUGGGCAGGUACUUGUGGCAGUUUUAGGCUACAACACCAUCUUACGUUCCACAGCUCUUAAAGCCAUAUCUACUUACAAAUCGCCACCCACACAGAUCAGCGCCUUUUUCCGUGGCAGCCACCGAACAGACGUGAUUCCAUCUUCCCACUUUGUCAGGUUUAUUUGGUCACGAUCUUUAUCACAGAGGAGCAAACUACUCUUGUUGUUACACCAGUGAAAAUGCUGGAGGGAAGGAAUGACCAGCAAAGGAAGAGGAUUCACAGGAAACUGAGUAGAGACAGGAAGAAAGCAAAUUCUACCUGUACAGUUAAAAGGAGAAGAGCAUGUCCGCUACCCUGUUGUCCACAUCAACGGAUCCAACCAGUCUUGAAUUGAAAAUUGGAAGCACGCG